AGGAAGUAAAAGUCGUAACAAGGUUUCCGUAGGUGAACCUGCGGAGGAUCAUUAUUGAAUACUCUUGAUGAGUUGUAGCUGGCUCUCCGGGGCAUGUGCACGCUUGUCUUGAUUUUAUUCAUCCACCUGUGCACCUUUUGUAGUCUUGGGGGUUGAAAGCAGUCGACUAUCGGAUGGCUAUGGCUUUUCCGGAUGUGAGAAAUGCUGAGUGCAUAGACGCAUACAGCUCUUCUCAAAUGACUUGCAUACCCUUGAGUACUAUGUAUUCAUAUACCACGUCGUAUGUUGUAGAAUGUGAUCAAUGGGUCUAUGUACCUAUAAUAAUCAUAUACAACUUUCAGCAACGGAUCUCUUGGCUCUCGCAUCGAUGAAGAACGCAGCGAAAUGCGAUAAGUAAUGUGAAUUGCAGAAUUCAGUGAAUCAUCGAAUCUUUGAACGCACCUUGCGCUCCUUGGUAUUCCGAGGAGCAUGCCUGUUUGAGUGUCAUUAAAUUCUCAACCCCUCCAGUUGUGAUGGGGCUUGGAUAUGGGAGUUUGCGGGUCCUUUAUCAGUAAAGGUCAGCUCUCCUGAAAUACAUUAGCGGAACCGUUUGCAGUCCCGUCACUAGUGUGAUAAUUAUCUACACUGUGAUGAUUGCUCUCUGACUAGUUCAGCUGCUAAUCGUCCGUUACGGACAAUGUUUAAUGAACUUCUUGACCUCAAAUCAGGUAGGACUACCCGCUGAACUUAAGCAUAUCAAUAAGCGGAGGAAAAGAAACUAACAAGGAUUCCCCUAGUAACUGCGAGUGAAGCGGGAAAAGCUCAAAUUUAAAAUCUGGCAGUCUUUGGCUGUCCGAGUUGUAAUCUAGAGAAGUGAUGCCCGCGCUGGACCGUGUACAAGUCUCCUGGA
rnacentral:rRNA from 1 species